rnacentral:lncRNA from 1 species
UAGGUUAUGCAGUGAUGGUUUUCCUGUCUUGGAGGAGAACGUGGGCCGCUCUGCGGGAAUGUAGAUGAGCUGCCUCUUGCAGCCUUUGUGCCUCGCCUGUACAAUGAGGACUGGGGUGAGGCAGGAGGAUAGAGGCGCUGCUGCCGGAGGACUGCCAAAGGGAGCAUCUCUCCGCUUGAGGCUGACUGCGGCUGUCUGCGGGUGACGCCCUCGCCUUGGUGAGCUGCUCGAGCUGCGACUGCAGCAGAACUGGGGAAGGGCAGCUUUGAUCAAGAGCGCUGGCUGGAAGGUGCUGUGCUCCGAGCCAGGCAACAGUCCUUUCAGGUGCAGUCUGCAGAAUUGAUCCACGUGGCUUGUCCCUGCCUCGGAAAGCUGGCAAGAGUCUGGCAGGGAGCCCAGCAUCACCCGUGAUAUUGGAGCUCCAGUUAAAACAAAAAAUGUGCACCCUGGCCUCGUGCAUGCCUUUUCUCCCUGGCUGGUGGGUUUCCGAGCUCGUGACUUGCUGCGUAUGGCGCUCGCUACCUGUCUGCUGUCCACAAGUCCGAGUCUGUUUUCGGAGAGCAGCUACCCGUGGUGGCCUCCAGUUGAGAGCACACCAGCUCCUCAAGGUCGCUGGGUGCAGGUCACCUGUGCCCGGUUUCGCACUGGCAAGGGCCCGGCUCCUUGCGGAGGGCAGCCGGCCGGCGGCGCUUCCUCUGCCAAGAGCUGCGGGAGCCGCAGGAGAGGCGCUCCCGGCCGUCGUCCCCAUGCUGCUUGUGGCAUGGGACUGGCCGUCCCCGGGGCUUGGCAAGGAGCAGCUUCCAAGGAGAGGUGACGCGGAGGUUUCCUCCGUGGCGGAGCGGCUCAGCGCGGCUCCGGGUCUGCAUCGGUGCCCGGAGGAGGCUGCGGGCGGCUGCUGGGCAAAGGCAGCCCGGGACCACGAGAGCGCCGGUGCAGCGCCGUGCACCCUGGCGUGCUGCCUCGCUGCUUCGCCCUCAUCCCACCCCAUCGCUCUCUGCUUCCCAGUCUCCGCUGGCCAUGCGCCCCGCCGUGCCCUGCUGCCCUCGUGCAAGCCCUUGCCGAGACCCGCGCUCAUCCACCUGCACCUGGAUUCCCGGAUUCCCCCGCGCUUGCUCCCGAGGGAUCCGGGAAGUUGGGAGCAACGGGGCCGGCUCUGCAGGCGGGUGGCCCAUGGGUUAGCGGUGCUCGCCUGGCCCUGGCGCUCCUGUGCCGGCGCUGCUGGGAGCGUGGGAAGGAGCUGGGAAUGCAAAGCAGUGCUUAGACGUACGGUGAAAAAUGGCCCGAUUCCUGUUUCCCUGGGCUGACUUAAAUAAAAUGCAAUGAAGCAGCGCGGAGCGCGCCUUU